CGACGGAGGAAGCUUUAGCGAAGGAGGGAGGAAAGUCCGGACACCGUAGGGUAGGAUGCCUCGUGAUAAACGGGGGACGGCACGUGUAAGCGUGUUGGACGGCCAGUGCCACAGAAAACAGACUACCUCGGCGCAAGCUGAGGAAAAGGUGAAAAGGUGGUGUAAGAGACCACCGGGUCAAGCGUAAGCGCGAUCGCACGGUAAACCCCAUCCGGUGCAAGAUCAAAUAGGGAACGAAGAGACGACCCGUCUCGUUUCCCGGGUAGCUUCGGCUCCCGGGAUGGAAGUUUCGGGUUGAUCGCAUAGAUAAAUGACCGAGUCCUCGUAGCGCGCAAGCGUAGCGGGGCCAACAGAAUCCGGCUUAUGACCCCCGAUCGUCGC
rnacentral:RNase_P_RNA from 1 species